rnacentral:rRNA from 1 species
GACGAACGCUGGCGGCGCGCCUAACACAUGCAAGUCGAGCGAUGAAAUUUUAACCGAUCUCUUCGGAGAGAAGAUAAAAUGGAUUAGCGGCGGACGGGUGAGUAACACGUGAGAAACCUGCCUUUCACAGGGGGAUAGCCUCGGGAAACCGGGAUUAAUACCCUAUGACACAUUUCCUUCGCAUGGAAGAAAUGUUAAAACUCCGGUGGUGAAAGAUGGUCUCGCGCCUGAUUAGCUAGUUGGUGGGGUAACGGCCCACCAAGGCCAUGAUCAGUAACCGGCCUGAGAGGGUGAACGGUCACAUUGGAACUGAGACACGGUCCAAACUCCUACGGGAGGCAGCAGUGGGGAAUAUUGCACAAUGGAGGAAACUCUGAUGCAGCGACGCCGCGUGAGCGAUGAAGGCUUUCGAGUCGUAAAGCUCUGUCCUAUGGGAAGAUAAUGACGGUACCAUAGGAGGAAGCCCCGGCUAACUACGUG